rnacentral:rRNA from 1 species
UACAGAGGGGGCAAGCGUUAUUCGGAAUUAUUGGGCGUAAAGGGCGCGUAGGCGGUGAUUCAAGUUGGAUGUGUAAUCCCCGGGCUCAACCUGGGAACUGUAUCCAAGACUGGAUUGCUAGGGUGCUGGAGAGGGUGGUGGAAUUCCCCGUGUAGCGGUGAAAUGCGUAGAGAUGAGGAGGAACACCAGUGGCGAAGGCGGCCACCUGGACAGUAACUGACGCUGAGGCGCGAAAGUGUGGGUAGCAAACAGG